GCCGGGGUGAGGAGAAUGUGCUGGAUUACCCACCCACGAGCCAGGAGUCGGGGUGGGAGGAAUCAGCCUUCCUCCAGGACGGCGCAGCCCACCGGGCGCCUGCUAAGUGCCCAGCACUGAACUCACCUUUAGAAAAGAAAUCUACCUAUGCCACGAUGCGGAGUAUACUAAUAAGCCCAGGGAAGAAGAGUCAGACCCAGUGCCAGUGCAGGGGAAACUCAUCUAAUCCAGAACAGCAGACACAGCUCCUCUCCCAUGGAACACCCAGAGUAGACAUUGCCAGUCAAUCCCAGCACCCUUUCUCCGGGAGCCUGGGCUCAGCCUCAAGACUUUGCUCCUGCUUCACAGAGCUCUGCACAGCCAGUUCUCAUC
rnacentral:lncRNA from 1 species